UACGGAGGGAGCUAGCGUUGUUCGGAAUUACUGGGCGUAAAGCGCACGUAGGCGGUUUUUCAAGUCAGGGGUGAAAGCCCGGAGCUCAACUCCGGAAUUGCCCUUGAAACUGGAUGACUGGAAUCUUGGAGAGGUCAGUGGAAUUCCGAGUGUAGAGGUGAAAUUCGUAGAUAUUCGGAAGAACACCAGUGGCGAAGGCGACUGACUGGACAAGUAUUGACGCUGAGGUGCGAAAGCGUGGGGAGCAAAC
rnacentral:rRNA from 1 species